rnacentral:tRNA from 1 species
GGGGUUGUGGCUCAGUGGUAGAGUGCUCAUGUAGCACACGUGAGGCACUGGGUUUAAUACUCAGCACCACA